AGAGAGGCGGGGACAGGAAGUUAUUCCGGUUAGCUAAAGCAAGGGAAAGGAAGGCGCGUGAUCUUGACCAAGUUAGGUGCAUCAAGGGCGAGGAUGGUACAGUUUUGAUGGGGGAGUCUCAAGUUAAGCAGAGGUGGCAAGCGUACUUUCGAGACUUACUUAACGAGGAGGGGGAUCGUAAUAUAGAGUUAGGGGAGUUGGGGCAUUCAGAGCAACACAGAGACCUUGGGUACUGCAGGCGCAUUAGGGCGGAGGAAGUCAUGGGGGCUUUGCGUAAGAUGAGUAGGGAUCGAGCGACCCGGCCUGACGAGAUCCCGGUAGAGUUCUGGAAGUGCAUGGGUAGGUCAGGAGUGGAGUGGCUCUCCAGGUUGUUCAAUGCGAUCUUCAGGACCAAUAGGAUGCCGGAUGAGUGGAGGUGGAGUAUAGUGGUGCCCUUGUACAAGAACAAAGGGAAAGUGCAUGGGUAGAUCAGGAGUGGAGUGGCUCUCCAGGUUGUUCAAU
rnacentral:lncRNA from 1 species